GUGAGUCAUCGAAUCUUUGAACGCACCUUGCACCCUUUGGCAUUCCGAGGGUAUGCUCGUUUGAGUGUCAUUGUACUCUCACUCUCCCGAUGCUUUUGGAUUGGGAGUGGUGGACUUGGGUGUUGCUGCUUCACUGUGGCUCGCCUCAAAUGGAGUAGUGCAACUCUUGGUUGGACAUAGUACGGCGUGAUAAGUAUCUUCGCCGGCGCCUCGCUAGAGGGUGGCCGAUCGGGAGCUCUGUGCUUCAAACCGUCUUCGGACAACAUCUGACAACUUGACCUCAAAUCGAGUAGGACUACCCGCUGAACUUAAGCAUAUCAAUAAGCGGAGG
rnacentral:rRNA from 1 species